AAUCCAAGAUGGCGGUACAACAGGGCAAAAAGACUAUAGAUUCUAUUACGAAAAUCAGGAUUUUUGCAUUUUUUGCCGUCGCAUUGUUUCGAAACUUACUCGGUCAAAUUCUAUGGUAAAGAGAAACUUACCGCGAAGAUUUUGAGCAUAUAUAUGAUUGAAUUGGAUGAAAAUUCGCAAAAUUAUCCAGCGAUAAAAGUU